CAAUAGCGUAUAUUAAAGUUGUUGCGGUUAAAAAGCUCGUAGUUGGAUUUCUGUUGAUAACGGCCGGUCCGCACUAUGUGCGUGUAUCAGGUUCGGUGUCGGCAUCCUCGUGGGGAUCGUUUCUGUGCUUGAUUGCAUGGGGCGGAAUUCACGACUUUUACUUUGAGGAAAUUAGAGUGUUCACGGCAGGCUUUCGCCCGAAUACAUUAGCAUGGAAUAAUAAUAUAGGAUUUCGAUUCUAUUUUGUUUGGUUUCUAGAAUUGGAAUAAUGAUUAAUAGGGACAAUUGGGGGCGAUUCGUACUGAGGCGUUAGAGGUCAAAUUCUUGGAUCGCUUCAUGACGAACUACUGCGAAAGCAUUUGCCAAGGAUGUUUUCAUUGAUCAAGAACGAAAGUUAGGGAUCGAAGACGAUCAGAUACCGU
rnacentral:rRNA from 1 species